AGAUCUUUUUCAAUUUCAAAUUUAUUUUCACUUUAUAUGUAUAAAUGUAUCAUCAAUUUUCAUAAAUUUCAGCUAGUCAUGAGACUUGAAUAUUUUUAAUAAAAAAAUUAACGAAACAUUUCUUUUUAUAAAUGAGAAACACAUACAUGCCAGGGAAAACAAACGAGAUACAAAUAUCGUAACCAUCGUGUUUAAAAUUAGAAAGAGAAAGUAGUUUCCACGAACGAUGAGUCAUCCGAAUUUAAUUAUGCUUGCGCGUACCUCUUGGAAUUGACGCGUAAACUGCUGAUGCUUUGUUUGCCAGUUAUUUCGAAUUUUGCACACGUCAUCGGUUUAGCAUCCGUGACGUUGUAGAAUUUUAUAUACGCGUCUGCCCCAUAUGCCGCAAAUAUAUCUUGAUUACCAAUCAUCCAUGUUAAUCCCACAACUGUAUUGUCCACAGAAAUGGUUUGCUGACUAACGUGCUACACGUGUGUCCAUGUAACAAACAAUUACACAAAUUAUAAAAUUGAAAUUGAUAUUAAUAUAUAACAAAUUUACAAAUUGUCCUUAAAAUUUAUCAUAUACAUUAAUUUUAUCUUGUGCUUAUUAACGAAUACUUUAAAAACUUAUCUCUGGCCUUGAAUAAUUAAAUGAAUCAUCCGUAAACGUUGAAUAAGUCACGUUUUGCAAAAAAUUACACGUUCUUACACGAUAUUGCAUCUAUUAUUAACGUCAUGAUAUAUUCAUGCAAGAUAAAAAUAUAUUUAUAUAUAUAUAUAUAUAUAUACUUUGUUUAAUAUUGUUUCAGUUUCACACAAUAUUUGUAGCAAAUAAUUAAUAUUUUCAUAGUAUAAAUUAUGUAGAUUUCAGCUUUUAAAUAUUUUUUUUAGAAUUUAUUUUUUUUAAACUCAAUGUUUCAAUUAUUAGCAAAACUAUUGAUUGAAAUUGAAACUUGAAAAAUGUAUGCAAAUAUUAAGUGCUUAUUCCUUAUUUCCAUAGGGCCAUGAUACUGUGAUAAUAUAUUUAAAGAAAAAACCUAAAACAUCUGAAAUAGAAGAGAAUUUACCUCGUCAAGAUUGUAUAUACGGAUCUCUUUAUCUGUAGUACUGAUGACAAAUAAAUUACGUAACGGCGAACAUUUUAUACAGGUACGAACCUUCGAUUGGAGUUACACUGUCCAAACUACAUUUAUAGAUUCCACCACAUAAUGUUCCAACGACAAAUAUGCUAGGAUGUCUUGGAGAGAAAUCAAAACUCGUGAUACACAAUCCUGCUUCUGCAGCGCGUUCGCGAGUACCUCCAGCACUGCGUGGCCUAGCAUUUUCCACUGGAUUACGUUCUUUGACUAUCUUGAAUCUAAAAUACGAUAAACAUAAAUAAAUAAGAUCGUAUCUAAUUAUAUCGCGAAAAGAGAGGAA